rnacentral:rRNA from 1 species
UACGAAGGGGGCUAGCGUUGUUCGGAAUUACUGGGCGUAAAGCGUGCGUAGACGGUUAUGUAAGUCAGAUGUGAAAGCCCCGGGCUUAACCUGGGAAUGGCAUUUGAGACUGCAUAGCUAGGGUGUGGAAGAGGGAAGCGGAAUUUCCGGUGUAGCGGUGAAAUGCGUAGAUAUCGGAAGGAACACCAGUGGCGAAAGCGGCUUCCUGGUCCAGCACCGACGUCAGGCACGAAAGCGUGGGGAGCGAACAGG